rnacentral:sRNA from 1 species
AUUCAUACAUUAUAAUAUUCUAAACCCGUCUCACCAUCUAAUCGAGUUCGGUAAAAUUAAACAU